CAAAAUCCAUCCCCUUUCAAUUAAAACCUAGACUUAAACCUAUAUAGAGAUUGUGAAAAUAUUCUUCUUCAAGAAUUCCACCACACUACUCACCUCAUUGUUGGGUAGAGAAACGGCCUCAACCAAUUUGAACACAUAAUCAACCGCGACCAAAAUGUAGGUGUUUCUGUUUCCACGAAGUCAAUACCCCCACACAUGGAUUUUAGGCUACAUUUGGAGAUAAGAUUCCUACCCAACACAGCGUCGUUUCCCCAUUGUUUUUUUGGUUCUCCUUCCUUACCUCUCAUCUUCAACAGAGGAUCAGAACACACACCCAAAAAUGAAAACCUUCCCUCUUAGAGACCCUAGCGGCGCACCUCUCUAUUCUUGAACAAAAAAAGGACGAACACCACCUUCUCCUCUUCCCGAUUCCCUCCUCUUCUCACACUCACCCUUUCGUCUGCACCUCACAUAUACACUCCUCCCUCACACACGCAAAGGCCAUAUAGGGGCAGCUGCAAAAAUACGAAGAAAAAAAAAAGAUCCAAAAAAUCAAAAGCUAAAAAAUGGGAAGAAAAACAUGAAUUUUCAAUAGAGAAUUGAAGAAGAACUGAUUUCAAAGCUUGAUUUUCUUUAUUUCUGAGUCUCUGGAAGCUAUUAAAGAGCCGUGGAUUUGCCGCUCGAUUAUCGCUGAUUUUGCUUCUUUUUUUUUUGUUCUGAAAUUGCUGAGCUCUACUGCUUGUUUGUUUAAGAGGUAAACUCAAAAGCACCCCUUUUGUAUUUUGUUAUAUUUAGUGAUGAAUGUUUGAACAGUGAAGUGAUGUCCAAUUGUUUGUGAUAUUGAGUUUAAUCCUCUAUUUCUCCUACUGGUUCAAUUCUGUUAGAAGCUAGAGUUACAUCCUCCUUAGUACUUCUGCAAUCUUCCAUGUCGUAUGUGGAUGUUAGGGGAAAUACACUUUCAUUUAUAAAAGAAGAACAAUAAUUUUAAAUGGCAUCUAUUUGAAUCUUUAAGGUUAUGCAUUUUAGAAAAGAGGGAAUACAGUGAAGUGGAGGUUCUUAGAAGAUGGAAAUAAUUGUUUCUUGUAGUUUCUUUUCCGAUUUGAAAAUGAUGUUUCCCUUAUUUUAUUGUUUAUUUGUCUUGUUUUAGAUUAGUUCAAAUUGUUUAGUUUUUCAUUUUAACUGGUUGUGACAUUUUUGAUUUGGCCCACUUUGGUUUGAAUGAACUAUAUAAAGUACUGGAGAUUUCAUUUUUUUUAAGUUCCUUCCCUUUUGUUACUUGUUGCUGGUUUAAAGGAGCAGGUCAAUACUUAGUUGGUUAAGAACUUGAAAUAUGUAUAAAUUUUAUAUCAUUUAUUACUUUAUCUAAUUAUUCAUGCAUUUUAUCAUCAAUGAAUUGGUACUUUUCAAUUGUUACAGCUGACUUAUGUGCGAUAGAUCUUGUUUAGCUAUUAGGAUUAAAUUAAGCCUAUAAAUUAUUAGUUUGGGCCAUAGAACUCUAAACUUGAUAUUGGUUGCGGCAGUGUUUGAACAAAAUAUUUUGGGCCGAAGUAUUUAUUGUUGUGUGGCCCAAUUUAACAAGAACUGGAAGUUGGUUCAUCUUUUCUAUAACAAAUGAUAGAAUAUUAGUAAUUCUAGGCAUAAUUGUGAGUUAUAACUUUGAUUAACUGUUUUGAGAUUCUUAGUAUUACUCAUAAAGUUCUUCUGCAACAAUCUUCCAUAAUCCAUGGCUUUCCAAUAAUCCCAAACUUUAGCAAAUAAAUAAUCAUGAACAUCGUAGCUUGUUUUAGGCACGAUUAGUAAACCAUCGUGACUAUGGGUACGGUUCCCGUGGCAUAGUCGUGAUGUCUAAUUCCCAAAUUUGGGGGUGCAUUUCAUGUAACCCGAUCAUAAUAACUUCGAAUAAUAAAACCCUUUGAAAUCAAUUGAGGUGUGCCAUGCCAAAUAAAACCCCUAAGCCCAUGGCCCUCAUAAACUAGUUAGCUCUUAUAGAAAUUUUGAGGUGUGCCAUUUUCCAUUAAAUAACCCACGGCCCUCAUGAAAUUAAUUCAAACCUUGUAAAAAUUGAGGUACGCCAUCAAUUAAACUUUCCAUGGCCCUCAUAAAUGUUGUUAUCAAUUUGAACCUUCAUAGUUGCUUUAGGCGCAUUCUUUAAAUAAUUCAUCACAGCUACGGGUAAUGUUCCCUUGACAUAGUUGUGAUUUUUAAUUACUAAAUACGGGUGUACAUUUUAUGUGACCCAAUUCUCAACAAUGUUAAAUAAAGCGUGUUGCGAACCACGGGUGCAUUUCAUGUAGCUUGGUUUGCGAUGUGUUUAAAUGACAUUGAAUCUUCCUAAAAGCGGUUUAAAUUAAUUUAAAAGCGGUUAUAAAGCUAAAAAUGCACAAUAGGUUAAAACAUGUAAUAAAUCGGAUAAUAGGUCAAUUUUAAUAGUUUAAGCGACCGUGCUAGAACCACGGAACCCGAAAAUGCCUAACACCUUCUCCCGGGUUAACAGAAUUCCUUAUAUAGAAUUUCUGGUUCGCAGACUUUUAAAUAAAGUCAAAUUUCCUCGACUUGGGAUUUUAAAAUAAACCGGUGAUUUGGGACACCAAAUAAACUAUCCCAUGUGGCGACUCUGAAAUUAAAUAAAAUAAUCUCAUUUCGAAUAAUGUCACUUUAAUUGGAAAAACUCCCCUAUAUACCCCCUCGGGUGGGUAAAAAGGGGUGUGAUAAGAGCGCAAUUAGAUGAAAUUCCACCAUGAUCCUUGGCUUCCCAUCGAGCCUAGGAUAAAUCGCGCCACACGCGCUCGAGGUAUGGGAAAAUCGAGUCCAGUUUAGCUAUCCAUCCCGAAAGAUUUCAUUACCGCAUCGGGGUACACCACAACAGUUGUAUCAACGGAGGAAGUCAGUCCAUGAAGAAAUGUAUCCAAAAGAAAGAAAUGGGCAGUUAAUUAAGUAUGUCUACUUACGCUUCAUGUUCCAUCUUUCGGGAAACGACAUCCUCUCUGCAGGGAUCAAGUCCGAAGUCCUAACUCGGACGAAACGGCUCAUCCACUCCUCGUUCCUAAUCUCGUCGGUGCAAGCAAAGAGGGCCCUCGAGGCCCGGCAACGAAGCUUAAUCAGGCCCCCGCGAAAAAGUCGGAGACUGUACACUUUGAUCAAAUGGUCAAGGGUAAAGGGCAUCCCCUCUAUCAUAUUCACGUAAUAUCUGGUCAUGUAAAUGAUACGCCAAAAUGACUGAUUAAUUUGGCCGAGAGUCACUUGAUAUCAUUCGCAAAAGUCGAGGAUCACGGGAUCUAUCGAAGACAUGGAGGGCACCACCGGGCUGAGGGUAAAUGGAUAAGUAUACACACUGAGGAAGUCGUCCUUAUACAUCAUUACGUCCUCCCCCGAGAAGGAACCUCCACUAGCACCGCAUCUCCCCAGCGACAGUCGAUUUUCACCCUUUCGUUAUCCGUUAUUAAACUGACGUAUCGGGAUGCAGGUUUGCAUCGCCCCGGUUUCGAAGAAGGUCUCUCGACCUUAAAAUCAGAGGUCAUCUCAAAGGCCCCUGGAACGCACUCUCCAGUGCUAGGAGGCAUUGUUUCACCCUCAAAAGAGAGCGUGGAAGAGGAAGAUACAUCUCCCUAAGGGAUGGAGGCGGAAUUGUUCGCCAUUUUUACCAGCGGAUAACAAAGGAGAAACUAAAAAUCACGUUUCAGGAAAAGGCACGGGAGAGAGGUAAGAAGAAAGAAAAACUCUGUUGGGAGCCUGAUGAUGCAGUAGAAAGGAAGGGGCAAAGAAAUGAAUACUUAUAGAAGCCUAACAUAUGCGGUUGGAGCAGACCAAAAGACAGCCAACCACUAUAAUUAAUUCAAAGAUUUUCAGGAUUGUGUGGAUGCGACCUUUUGAAGCCCUGUCUAUUACAUCAGUCACUUGGCAGGACAUAACUAUUUGUUUCGAUGGAGGCGUCGGAGGGGCAAGAUCUCGAGGAUGUUUCCUUUCAUUUUACUCUGAGAAACGUGGAGACUAUCUGUAUACAGCUAAAAUCGGGAAGACCAAUUUUAGGAUCGACAAGGUAUUACGUAAUCUCAUCUCGAAGGGCCUGAAGAAUAGCCCGGGGUCCGAUGCCCUAGGGGACUCUUUGUGCCCCGUGUCAGGGCAAAACAAACCGGUGCUUGUUGCAGGUAAACGGGAAGUUCCCUAGGAGCAGUACUUUCUGACAACACCUGCGCAAAUAGUGACAUCCUGCACCAGGCUGAUUGAGUGGUUGUACCAGUUACUUUAUGUAAUAAUUACACAUGUGUCAUAUAAGGAUUUUUCCCUCAUAUAUAAAGGGGACCCUUGUCAUUUUCAAAUGGGGGUUGGGACACAAUAUUGAAAAUACAAGAACAUUCUCUCGGCUUUCUAACAUAUUCUCUUGAUUUCAUUACUUGCAUUUAUUGAUUAUAUUCAUAGUGUUCUUCUAUUUAUUGUUCUUCAUUUUUUGCUCGUUAUUGAUCAUGAAGAGCUGCCAUCGUAGCUCUCAUAACUGUUAAUCCUCCCUCGAUUGCACUUAGUCGAGCACCCGAUUCGACAUCGAGGCCCUGUAUACACCAGCUCGAUGCCCCGACUUUCGACCAUUCGGUUUGGUUAUUAUACUAUCUACAAGCUCUUAUUUACUUUCCAGUCUUUCGCUUAGCAUCUAUUGCCUAACAACUAGUAUAAAAAUAGAUCGCAUAUUUUUAGAACCAAAAAAUCAAAUCUAAUUGUAAUUACAAUUUUCAAGGUAAACAAUAAGGCUUAGGGCUACUGUUACCUAUUUCUUUCUCUGAGAAUUCACAAAUCUUAUUGAAAUCAUCUGGUAAAUCAUCUGCCAACACACUCAACUUCUGGGAUCACUCAUUUUCACUACUUCAUAUCUGGUAUGCCUCAAUCACUUGUAGAAUAUUUCAAUUUUUAGUUUAAUUUACAGUUUUUUAGUUAGUUUUAAGACAUUUGUCUGUAUAAUUCAAAUAUACAACCAUGUGGGGUUAAAACUAUAGUGGGUCAACUGGUACUUGCUCUAUGGGGAAUGGGUAAAUAGGUUUUCAUGCAUAUAUGCUAUUACCACGUCAAAAUUUGAGCAAAACAUUGCAAGCCCUAGAACUUUGUUCGUAAGUGUUUUGAAAUUUGUGGCCGCACAAGAAAUUAUGCAGUCCAUAUAAGUUAAAAUUAGGGUAUUUUAGUAAGGCAUGAUUCUGCGGCCGCAAUGAAAAAUGUGCGAACCACAGAAAACCCACUGCGGCCGCAAAACAACUCUUUUUUUAUUGUUAGAGAGUUGUCAAUUUGAUGACUCACAUGUGCAACCGCGAUAGAAAAUGUGCGAACCGUAGAUAACUGGUUGCGGCUGCAAAACAACCAAUUCUCUGUUAUUAGAGAGUUGUCAUAUUGGUGGUGUCUGAGUUGCGUCCGCAAUGAGAAUUGUGCAGACCGCAAUCCAAUUCUGCGGCCGCAAUGAAUAUUCUGUGAACUGCAACUCCCUACCCUGUAAGCAUGUUUUAAACUGUGUUGUUCACUGUCUCUCUGUUGUGUUCUUAUAUGUCUGCACUUGAAUUGCAACUAACACCUGCUUUUGCUUGGUACAGAAAAAUGCUUAGAUCUCGAGGUAAAGGUGAUACUUCGAAUGCGAGGGGAGAACCUUCCAAGGGUCGAGGCAAGAGUGCUUUACCCCUCGCCUUACAAAAGAUAAUCACAAAGAAGGC
rnacentral:lncRNA from 1 species